AAGAGGAAACAUCUUCGCUUCCUAAGUAACUGACCCCCACGAUUUUAAGCUUUUACCUUAAAACUUACGGUCGCUUUAAAUUAGCAGGUUGCAGGGAGUCACCCUCAGGACCCCGCCCUUCCCCGCUCAGGUGCUGCCCAGGGGUCGCUCCAGGCCCCGCCCCGCGCCGACAGCGCCCCGUCCAGAUCCCGCCCCCGGAAGUCCCGCCUCUUCGCGGCGCAGACAUUUUCCUUGGAAAUUGGCCCCGAUACGAGAUUGACUUCGAAGCCUCAUGUUGCCUGAGCAAGAAGCCCGGCAGGGGAGGAGGAGGAAGAGGAAGGAAGGCCAGGAGUCAGGAAUGGCUGUUUCUCAGGAGCGCCUAUAAAUCAUAAUGAAAAUCUCACUGAUAAGAGAUUGACAUGGUAGAAAUUUUCCAGGAAGGAAGACUACUGAAAACAUGCUUGCAUUAAGCUUUCAGGAUAUACCACCUACUUUUAAAAGUGAAGAGAAAAUAGAAGAAUGUAACCAAAGUGACAAGAGUAUCAGCAGUAGUAGAGCCUCAUUUUCACCAGUUCAAGGAAUUUCUUCACGUGUCCAAAGCAACAUUUCUUAUGCAUUUGAAAAUGAUUUUAUGCAUCCUUCAGUCGUGACACAAGACCAGGAACCACACAGGAAAAGACCUUAUAAACAUAAUGCAUGUGGGAAAACCUUUGAUUACCACUCACUUCUCUCAUAGUAUGAGAUAAUCCAUACAGGAAUAAAACCAUAUAAGUGUGAUAUACAUGGGAAAGUCUGUGAUGAAAAUUCAUACAUUGCACUGGGUCAGAAUUCAUACUGGAGAGAAAUCUUACAAGUGUAAAGAGUGUGGGAAAGCCUUUCGUUACUGUUCAUGCCUCUCAAUAUGUCAGACAAGCCAGAUGGAAACAAAACCAUAUAAAUGUGAAGUAUGUGGGAGAAACUUUGGUCAAAAUUCAUCACUUGAAAUUCAUCAGAGAAUUCAUACUGGAGAGAAAACUUGCAAAUGUAAUGUCUGUAGGAAGUUCUUUAAUCACAAAUCAACCCUUGCAGGUCAUCAGAGAGUUCAUACUGCAGAGAGACCUUACAAAUGCGAUUGACUUCAGAAGACUUUCUUAGCCUGAAGAAGAAGCCCUGAAGAGGAGGAAUAUGAAGGAAAUGGAGUCAGGAAUGGCUCUUUCUCAGCCACGAAGUGUCUUGAUGUGGGGUCUUCGUUCCCAGACUAGGGAUUGAACCUGGGCCAUAGCAGUGAACCUUACAAAUCCUAACCACAAGACCACCAGGGAGUUCCUUUCACCUUUUUC